rnacentral:rRNA from 1 species
CAGUCGCCGCGGUAAUACAGAGGGUGCGAGCGUUAAUCGGAUUUACUGGGCGUAAAGCGUGCGUAGGCGGCUUCUUAAGUCGGAUGUGAAAUCCCUGAGCUUAACUUAGGAAUUGCAUUCGAUACUGGGAAGCUAGAGUAUGGGAGAGGAUGGUAGAAUUCCAGGUGUAGCGGUGAAAUGCGUAGAGAUCUGGAGGAAUACCGAUGGCGAAGGCAGCCAUCUGGCCUAAUACUGACGCUGAGGUACGAAAGCAUGGGGAGCAAACAGGAUUAGAUACCCGCGUAGUCCUGUCUCUUAUACC